CUUAUUAAACUUAAGUAUAUUAAUGAGUAGAAGAAAAGAAACUAAUAGGAAUUACUUUAGUAAUAAUUAGUAAAAUAGUAAUAGUUUAAAUUUAAGAUUUAACCCCUAAAACCUAAGUUAUAAUUCGAAGAGAUACUUUAGAUAUAAUACUUUUUGAGCUUUCUAGAAUGAAAUACUAUAGAAAAUAAGAGCAUUAGAUAAUUAGAUAUUAAAUUUAUAUAAAACUCUUUUAAUAAGUUGAAUAGUUUGGAAAUACUAUUGAAAAUAAGAGAUUUAUUUCUUUUAAAAUUAAAUAUUAACUAGAGAUUAAUAGUAUAUAAAUACAAUAAUU
rnacentral:ncRNA from 1 species